AGCCAUCCUUUAAAGAAAGCGUAACAGCUCACUGGUCAAGCGUUCCUGCGCGGAAAAUGUAACGGGGCUUAAGUGAUACACCGAAGCUGCGGACUCGAAAGAGUGGUAGCGGAGCGUUCUGUAAGUCUGUGAAGGUGGCCUGCGAGGGCUGCUGGAGAUAUCAGAAGUGAGAAUGCUGACAUGAGUAGCGAUAAAGAGGGUGAGAGGCCCUCUCGCCGAAAGUCCAAGGGUUCCUGCGCAAUGCUAAUCAGCGCAGGGUAAGCCGGCCCCUAAGGCGAGGCCGAAAGGCGUAGUCGAUGGGAACCAGGUUAAUAUUCCUGGGCCAGCGGGU
rnacentral:rRNA from 1 species